rnacentral:rRNA from 1 species
UAGGGAAUCUUCGGCAAUGGACGAAAGUCUGACCGAGCAACGCCGCGUGAGUGAAGAAGGUUUUCGGAUCGUAAAACUCUGUUGGUAGAGAAGAACGUUGGUGAGAGUGGAAAGCUCAUCAAGUGACGGUAACUACCCAGAAAGGGACGGCUAACUACGUGCCAGCAGCCGCGGUAAUACGUAGGUCCCGAGCGUUGUCCGGAUUUAUUGGGCGUAAAGCGAGCGCAGGUGGUUUAUUAAGUCUGGUGUAAAAGGCAGUGGCUCAACCAUUGUAUGCAUUGGAAACUGGUAGACUUGAGUGCAGGGAGAGAGUAGUGAAUUCCAUGUGUAGCGGUGAAAUGCGUAGAUAUAUGGAGGAACACCGGGGGCGAAAGCGGCUCUCUGGCCUGUAACUGACACUGAGGCUCNAAAGCGUGGGGAGCAAACAGGAUUAGAUACCCUGGUAGUCCACGCCGUAAACGAUGAGUGCUAGAUGUAGGGAGCUAUAAGUUCUCUGUAUCGCAGCUAACGCAAUAAGCACUCCGCCUGGGGGAGUACGACUGCAAGGUU